rnacentral:rRNA from 1 species
AUGAACGCUGGCGGCGUGCCUAAUACAUGCAAGUCGAGCGAACGGACGAGAAGCUUGCUUCUCUGAUGUUAGCGGCGGACGGGUGAGUAACACGUGGAUAACCUACCUAUAAGACUGGGAUAACUUCGGGAAACCGUAGCUAAUACCGGAUAAUAUUUUGAACCGCAUGGUUCAAAAGUGAAAGACGGUCUUGCUGUCACUUAUAGAUGGAUCCGCGCUGCAUUAGCUAGUUGGUAAGGUAACGGCUUACCAAGGCAACGAUGCAUAGCCGACUUGAGAGGGUGAUCGGCCACACUGGAACUGAGACACGGUCCAGACUCCUACGGGAGGCAGCAGUAGGGAAUCUUCCGCAAUGGGCGAAAGCCUGACGGAGCAACGCCGCGUGAGUGAUGAAGGUCUUCGGAUCGUAAAACUCUGUUAUUAGGGAAGAACUUAUGUGUAAGUAACUGUGCACAUCUUGACGGUACCUAAUCAGAAAGCCACGGCUAACUACGUG